GACGAACGCUGGCGGUAUGCUUAACACAUGCAAGUCGAACGAGACGAGAUGGAAGGAUCCUUCGGGUGACGGAAAUCUUAGAAAGUGGCGAACGGGUGAGUAACGCGUGGGUAACCUGCCCUAUGGAAAGGAAUAGCCUCGGGAAACUGGGAGUAAUGCCUUAUAAGAUACAUUUGUCGCAUGGCAGAAGUAUUAAACGCUCCGGUGCCAUAGGAUGGACCCGCGUCCCAUUAGCUAGUUGGUGAGAUAACAGCCCACCAAGGCGACGAUGGGUAACCGGGCUGAGAGGGCGAACGGUCACACUGGAACUGUGACACGGUCCAGACUCCUACGGGAGGCAGCAGUGGGGAAUAUUGCGCAAUGGGGGCAACCCUGACGCAGCAAUACCGCGUGAGUGAAGAAGGUUUUCGGAUCGUAAAGCUCUGUUAUUGGGGAAGAAAAAGACGGUACCCAAGAAGAAAGUCCCGGCUAACUACGUGCCAGCCGCCGCCGUAA
rnacentral:rRNA from 1 species